CCUACGGGUGGCAGCAGUGGGGAAUAUUGGACAAUGGGCGAAAGCCUGAUCCAGCCAUGCCGCGUGUGUGAAGAAGGCCUUCGGGUUGUAAAGCACUUUCAGUGGGGAAGAAAGCCUUGGGGCUAAUACCCUCGAGGAAGGACAUCACCCACAGAAGAAGCACCGGCUAACUGCCGUGCCAGCAGCCGCGGUAAUACGGAGGGUGCGAGCGUUAAUCGGAAUUACUGGGCGUAAAGCGCGCGUAGGCGGUCUGAUAAGCCGGUUGUGAAAGCCCCGGGCUCAACCUGGGAACGGCAUCCGGAACUGUCAGGCUAGAGUGCAGGAGAGGAAGGUAGAAUUCCCGGUGUAGCGGUGAAAUGCGUAGAGAUCGGGAGGAAUACCAGUGGCGAAGGCGGCCUUCUGGACUGACACUGACGCUGAGGUGCGAAAGCGUGGGUAGCAAACAGGAUUAGAUACCCUGGUAGUC
rnacentral:rRNA from 1 species